CUGCUGGUAAAGGUCAUUACGUAUUACUUUACUUACCGGAGGAAAAGAAACCAACAGGGAUUGCCCCAGUAACGGCGAGUGAAGCGGCAACAGCUCAAAUUUGAAAUCUGGCCCCCGGGUCCGAGUUGUAAUUUGUAGAGGAUGCUUUUGGCGAGGUGCCUUCCGAGUUCCCUGGAACGGGACGCCAUAGAGGGUGAGAGCCCCGUCUGGUCGGACACCGAGCCUCUGUAAAGCUCCUUCGACGAGUCGAGUAGUUUGGGAAUGCUGCUCAAAAUGGGAGGUAUAUGUCUUCUAAAGCUAAAUAUUGGCCAGAGACCGAUAGCGCACAAGUAGAGUGAUCGAAAGAUGAAAAGCACUUUGAAAAGAGGGUUAAAAAGUACGUGAAAUUGUUGAAAGGGAAGCGCCUAUGACCAGACUUGGGCCCGGUGAAUCAUCCAGCGUUCUCGCUGGUGCACUUUGCCGGGCACAGGCCAGCAUCAGUUUGGCGCGGGGGAGAAAGGCUCUGGGAAUGUGGCUCCUCCGGGAGUGUUAUAGCCCACUGCGUAAUACCCUGCGCCGGACUGAGGUACGCGCAUUGCAAGGAUGCUGGCGUAAUGGUCAUCAGCGACCCGUCUUGAAACACGGACCAAGGAGUCGUCUUCGUAUGCGAGUGUUCGGGUGUCAAACCCCUACGCGUAAUGAAAGUGAACGCAGGUGAGAGCUUCGGCGCAUCAUCGACCGAUCCUGAUGUUCUCGGAUGGAUUUGAGUAAGAGCAUACGGGGCCGGACCCGAAAGAAGGUGAACUAUGCCUGUAUAGGGUGAAGCCAGAGGAAACUCUGGUGGAGGCUCGCAGCGGUUCUGACGUGCGAAUCGAUCGUCAAAUAUGGGCAUGGGGGCGAAAGACUAAUCGAACCUUCUAGUAGCUGGUUUCCGCCGAAGUUUCCCUCAGGAUAGCAGUGUUGAACUCAGUUUUAUGAGGUAAAGCGAAUGAUUAGGGACUCGGGGG
rnacentral:rRNA from 1 species